rnacentral:tRNA from 1 species
AUUUAAGUAAUUUAUUAAAAAUAUUGAUUUGUGGUAUCAAAAAUGUAGAUUUUAUUUACCUUAAAUU